AAAUAAAAUAAUCUUGCACUUUGAAACUGCUUUCUGGCCAAAUGUUGAGUUUUUAGGAGUUGUUGCAGACACAUCACAGAAUUGCAGCUACUUCCUCAAUCUUCACAAGGCCACAAGCCAUCCUGUCCUUGUUUACAUGCCUUCUGGGAAGCUUGCUAGAGAGAUUGAGAAGAUGUCAGAUCAAGAAGCUGCCAAUUUUGCUUUCAUGCAACUCAAGAAGGUCGUACCUGAUGCGCCUGCCCCGAUUCAGCAUCUAGUUUCUAGAUGGGGGUCAGAUGUCAAUUCACUUGGAUCCUACAGCUACGACAUAGUAGGCAAACCCCAUCAUCUGUUUGAGAGGCUGAGGAUCCCUGUCGACAACCUCUUU
rnacentral:misc_RNA from 1 species